rnacentral:rRNA from 1 species
GGUCAAGUUAUUAAGGGUGCAGGGCGGAUGCCUUGGCACUAGGAGCCGAUGAAGGACGUGAUAAGCUGCGAUAAGCUUCGGGGAGUUGCACGUAAACUUUGAUCCGAAGAUUUCCGAAUGAGGAAACUCACUUAGAGUAAUGUCUAAGUAUCAUUAAGUGAAUACAUAGCUUAAUGAGGGGAACUCAGGGAACUGAAACAUCUAAGUACCUGAAGGAAGAGAAAGAAAUUCGAUUCCGUAAGUAGCGGCGAGCGAACGCGGAUUAGCCCAAACCAAUAAAGUUUUCUUUAUUGGGGUUGCGGACAUAUCAUAACGAAGAGGUAUCGUAAUUGAAGAGGUUUGGAAAGACCCACCACAGAAGGUAAUAGUCCUGUAUGUUAAACGAGAAGACUUUAGAUAUGAUCCAGAGUACCACGGGACACGUGAAACCCUGUGGGAAGCAGGAGGGACCACCCUCCAAGGCUAAAUACUACCUAGUGACCGAUAGCGUAUAGUACCGUGAG